rnacentral:rRNA from 1 species
CCUACGGGAGGCAGCAGUGAGGAAUAUUGGUCAAUGGGCGGAAGCCUGAACCAGCCAAGUAGCGUGCAGGAUGACGGCCCUACGGGUUGUACACUGCUUUUAUACGGGAAUAACGCGCCUUACGUGUAGGGCUUUGCAUGUACCGUAUGAAUAAGGACCGGCUAAUUACGGGCCAGCAGCCGCGGUAAUACGGAAGGUCCGGGCGUUAUCCGGAUUUAUGGGGUUUAAAGGGAGCGUAGGCCACAUGUCAAGCGUGCUGUGAAAUGUUCGGGCUCAACCCGGGCCUUGCAGCGCGAACUGGCGUGCUUGGGUCCGCGGAGAGCAGGCGGGAUUCGUCGUGUAGCGGUGAAAUGCUUAGAUAUGACGAAGAACCCCGAUUGCGAAGGCAGCUUGCUGCAGCGGAACUGACGCUGAUGCUCGAAAGCGCGGGUAUCGAACAGGAUUAGAUACCCCUGUAGUC